rnacentral:rRNA from 1 species
GGUACGCGUCUGGCGGAAGCCAGGGUAAGACGAAGGAUGCAAACGGUAUCCGGAUUCAUUUGGUUUAAAUGGUGCGUAGGCUGACUUGUAAGUCAGUGGUGAAAUCUCUUUGCUUAACAAAGAAACUGCCAUUGAUACUGCUAGUCUAGAGUAUAGAUGACGUUGGCGGAAUAUGACAUGUAGUGGUGAAAUACUUAGAUAUGUCAUAGAACAUCGAUUGCGAAGGCAGCUGACUGGACCUGAAUUGACGCUGAGGCACGAAAGCGUGGGGAGCGAACAGGAUUAGAUACCCGAGUAGUC